AACGAACGCUGGCGGCAUGCCUAACACAUGCAAGUCGAACGAGACCUUCGGGUCUAGUGGCGCCCGGUUGCGUAACGCGUGGGAACCUGCCCUUAGGUUCGGAAUAACUCUCCGAAAGGGGUGCUAAUACCGGAUAAUGUCUUCGGACCAAAGAUUUAUCGCCUUUGGAUGGGCCCGCGUUGGAUUAGCUAGUUGGUAGGGUAAAAGCCUACCAAGGCGACGAUCCAUAGCUGGUCUGAGAGGAUGAUCAGCCACACUGGGACUGAGACACGGCCCAGACUCCUACGGGAGGCAGCAGUGGGGAAUAUUGGACAAUGGGCGAAAGCCUGAUCCAGCAAUGCCGCGUGAGUGAUGAAGGCCUUAGGGUUGUAAAGCUCUUUUACCCGGGAUGAUAAUGACAGUACCGGGAGAAUAAGCCCCGGCUAACUCCGUG
rnacentral:rRNA from 1 species